rnacentral:rRNA from 1 species
GAUGAACGCUAGCGACAGGCCUAACACAUGCAAGUCGAGGGGCAGCACGAAGUAAGCUUGCUUACUCUGGUGGCGACCGGCGCACGGGUGCGUAACAGGUGUGCAAUCUGUCCAUAAUCGGGGAAUAGCCCAGCGAAAGUUGGAUUAAUGCUCCAUGUGAGUUUUAGAGGCAUCUCUUUAAUUUGAAACGUAAGGAUUAUGGGUGAGCACGCUUCUGAUUAGGUAGUUGGUGAGGUAACGGCUCACCAAGCCGACGAUCAGUAGGGGUUCUGAGAGGAAGGGCCCCCACAUUGGAACUGAGACACGGUCCAAACUCCUACGGGAGGCAGCAGUGAGGAAUAUUGGUCAAUGGACGGAAGUCUGAACCAGCCAAGUCGCGUGAAGGAUGAAGGUUCUAUGGAUUGUAAACUUCUUUUGUCUGAGGGUAAAACAGUGGACGUGUCCACUCUUGCAAGUAUCAGACGAAUAAGCAUCGGCUAACUCCGUGCCAGCCGCCGCGGUAAAAC